CUAGUGUACUCUUAUUUUUUGAGUUUUUUCAAAAUUCAGAUGUUGAUGCCGCCUAACUAGUGGCAGCACAAAAAAAUUUUAUUUUUUAAAAAUGUAAUGAUGAUAGAAUGAUUGAGGGAAAGUGGGGUGAUGCCUUCGGUUGGUUCGAUGGCACCGACAAUAUAUUGUAAUGGAUGCUUAUUUUAGUAAAUAAUUUUAAUGUGCCUAUUUUAAUAAUUAAUUGUUUUUCCACAUUAUUGGGUAAAAAGCCGCAUAUUUAAUUAAUUCAUCAUUUCUAUUUCACUUUCCCUUUUAUUUUUUUUCCUUUCCAUUUUUCCUCUUUCUUUUAUUCUUUCUCAGUUCCAUUUUGUUUCUUUCUUUUCUUCUUAGUCUCCUCUUUUCUUUCCCAACCCUAGCCGCCAUCAGCAUGCACCACAGCCGCACUCCGACGAUAUCACCAACGAUUAUUCUCUAGCCCAAAUAAUGGCACUAGUCAACUCUUUUCCUCUUGCUCUUUCAUUUCCUCUGCUUUGUUUUCACAGAUAACUCCUUGAAAUCCCAUUAGGAUUCUCUUUUGCUAGUCACCUUGCUUUAGUGUCGUCAUCAAUCAAAAAAGCCACUAAUCGGUCCACCUAUCAUUUCUCUCUUUCGUUUCUUUUCCUCUUAUUUUCUCCUUUUUUUUUCUUUUCAAAGUCCUUGGCCGUCGAUUCACUGCGGCUACUCUCCAACGUUGAAUUGAGCCACUGUCAUAGAUGGCCUCGCAUCUGGCCAACGUGCACCGCUACUCAGUCUCUUGUUUCUUUUCCUUUUUUACCACCGCCUCUACUGUCUAACCCCGAAGCCACUGUCUGCCGACGGAUCAACUUGAGUUUGAGAUAUAUGUCCCCAUUUGUUGAUGGACAGCCUUUCAUCGUUCCGAUCGUCGAAAUGGUGCCUAAAGCUCGUUGAUCAGACCUUUUCCCAAUGGUGAUUUGCUUGCUUUUCCUUUUUUCUUUGAUUUUGAUUUCCAUGUUUAUUGGUUUACUGGCAUUGGGUUUGAAUAUUGGCUGCUGUUGGUUUGCUCUGUUGGUUAAGUUUUGUUAACAAAGUUUGGUGAUGAUGAGUGGAGAGUAAUACAACCUAAAGGUUCUCUUUUUACUCCUUGGAGACACUUUGCUACUCUAGAUUUUGAGGAGAAAUGAAAAGCGUAUGCAACUUGUGCCCAACUCCUAUCAUUUCGGGAACCGUUUAUAAAACCCCAUGUUGUGUACCUGCAAGUUCUUUUGUCCUGAAGACAUAACUUAAAUACAGUCGGCAAGGUGAUUUCCGUACGGUUGUGAUUCAUAAUAUUGUAUUGUUUUAUGUGUCAACCGCGGGCGGAAGGUGCAUUUAACGGUAGAAAAGUUGUUUCCACUCAAACAUUCUAUCAAACUUCAGCUCCACCAGUAAUUAUAUAUUCAAUUUAUUACAUUCUUGACUGGUUGAUUUGUCGUGAUGAUUCUGUUGUACCUAGAUAUUAAAUGGGAUGAUGGUGUUAUUAACCCAUCGUUUGUCUACUGUAAGUGUAUGUACAUCAAAGGAUUUCAUGAGAUUAAAAGCAAGGUAGAAGGACUUCUCCUGCAAAAGAUAAGGACAAGUGUGGAGAAUAAAAACAAAUGAACAUAUGAAAUUGAAAUAUCACCAUAGAAUCAACAUCAUUGGGAAGAAAUAUAACCAUUCUUUCAACACACCUACCUUGGCCGCUAAUCGCCUGAUAUGAAUAAAUAAUAUUUUUGUUUUAGUUUAAAAAUUAUUAUGUCAUUAAUAUUGAUAUGAAUUGUUUAUGG
rnacentral:lncRNA from 1 species